rnacentral:rRNA from 1 species
GUGAACGCUGGCGGUAGGCCUAACACCUGCAAGUCGAACGGCAGCACAGUAAGAGCUUGCUCUUACGGGUGGCGAGUGGCGGACGGGUGAGGAAUACAUCGGAAUCUACUUUUUCGUGGGGGAUAACGUAGGGAAACUUACGCUAAUACCGCAUACGACCUACGGGUGAAAGCAGGGGAUCUUCGGACCUUGCGCGAUUGAAUGAGCCGAUGUCGGAUUAGCUAGUUGGCGGGGUAAAGGCCCACCAAGGCGACGAUCCGUAGCUGGUCUGAGAGGAUGAUCAGCCACACUGGAACUGAGACACGGUCCAGACUCCUACGGGAGGCAGCAGUGGGGAAUAUUGGACAAUGGGCGCAAGCCUGAUCCAGCCAUACCGCGUGGGUGAAGAAGGCCUUCGGGUUGUAAAGCCCUUUUGUUGGGAAAGAAAUCCAGCCGGCUAAUACCUGGUUGGGAUGACGGUACCCAAAGAAUAAGCACCGGCUAACUUCGUG